rnacentral:rRNA from 1 species
UACGGAGGAUCCGAGCGUUAUCCGGAUUUAUUGGGUUUAAAGGGUGCGCAGGCGGGGGGAUUAAGUCGGCGGUGAAAUUUUGCAGCUCAACUGUAAAAGUGCCUUCGAAACUGGUUUCCUUGAGUGUAGAUGAAGUAGGCGGAAUUCGUGGUGUAGCGGUGAAAUGCAUAGAUAUCACGAGGAACUCCGAUCGCGUAGGCAGCUUACUAGGCCAUAACUGACGCUCAUGCACGAAGGCGUGGGGAUCAAACAGGAUUAGAUACCCUGGUA